UGGGGAAUAUUGCACAAUGGGCGCAAGCCUGAUGCAGCAACGCCGCGUGAGGGACGACGGCCUUCGGGUUGUAAACCUCUUUUAGCAAGGAAGAAGCGAAAGUGACGGUACUUGCAGAAAAAGCGCCGGCUAACUACGUGCCAGCAGCCGCGGUAAUACGUAGGGCGCAAGCGUUAUCCGGAAUUAUUGGGCGUAAAGAGCUCGUAGGCGGUUUGUCGCGUCUGCUGUGAAAUCCCGAGGCUCAACCUCGGGUCUGCAGUGGGUACGGGCAGACUAGAGUGCGGUAGGGGAGAUUGGAAUUCCUGGUGUAGCGGUGGAAUGCGCAGAUAUCAGGAGGAACACCGAUGGCGAAGGCAGAUCUCUGGGCCGUAACUGACGCUGAGGAGCGAAAGGGUGGGGAGCAAACAGG
rnacentral:rRNA from 2 species